rnacentral:misc_RNA from 1 species
GGCGCCUUCAUCUUAGUUGUCUUCAUCUUAUUCUACUUUGCAGCCUGGAGCUGCUUUGGGAGUAUUUGGUGGACUGAUCCUUUUUCUUCAUUAUAAUGAUGAAAGAAGAGCAAUUCCAAAAGGUCAAGGCGAGAAAUUUGAAAGAAGUGCAACCCAAGGUCCAAUUAUUGGCGGUCCGUUCAGCUUGUUUGAUACCGAAGGCCGUUUGGUUACCGAGCGCAACUUGCUGGGUAGCUGGGUUCUUCUCUACUUUGGUUAUACAUCAUCUCCUGAUGUUGGUCCAGCAGAAGUACAAAAGAUGGCUAAAACUAUUGAUAUUCUAGGGUCAAAACAGGAUCAUCAUAAGAUCCUCCCAGUAUUUGUCACAAUUGAUCCUCAACGUGAUACGCCUUCGCAACUUCGAGCUUAUCUUAAAGAGUUUGACCCAAGAAUAAUGGGAUUAACUGGACCAGUUGCUGCUGUUAGACAGAUGACACAGGAAUACCGAGUUUACUUUAAGAAGGUUGAUGAAGAAGGAGGUGAUUAUCUGGUAGAAUGUUCUCACAACAUGUAUUUGGUGAAUCCAAAUAUGCGAGUAGUUAGAUGCUUUGGUGUGGAAUACAGUGGGGAGGAACUGGCCGAUGCAAUAGUUAAGGAGCUAAAGAAAGUUGAGAUAUAGCUAUACUCGAAGUGGAUUUGGUGAAGUAAGUACAUCAUACUAAGGUGGAGCCAGACAUUCGAUUUUUGCCUGUUGUCAUGGCAAUUUAAGGACCUUUGCAGCAGCUGAGUUCGAUUAGGUGUGCUAGUCAUCUCUCAACAAUUUACUAGUUUUGAACAGAAAUUUCUCUGAUGGUCAGAGGGUUGAAAAAAAAUAUCUUCAGUUAAAGCAAAUUGGUUCUGGUAGUUUUUUCUCGUCUGGGCUUAAUGAAUUUGGACCUGGUCGGUGGGUAAUGCAAAGUAGGUGGCUGUUUGGUUGCCUAGCAAAAGUUUCAUUCUAUAAUUAAUUAAUUGGAUAUCAGACUGAGUCAAGUUUGAAAACAUUAACUUAUUGAAUUUCAACCUCAUUGUUGACUAAAUAGCUAAUCACUUUUGUCUUGUGAGAAGUGAAAACAAC